rnacentral:rRNA from 1 species
UCGGAUUGAAGGCUGAAAUUCGCCUUCAUGAAGCCGGAAUUGCUAGUAAUGGCAGGUCAGCAUACUGCCGUGAAUACGUUCCCGGGCCUUGUACACACCGCCCGUCACACCAUGAGAGUUGGGAAUACCCGAAGCCUGUGAGCUAACUUUAAGAGGCAGCAGUCGAAGGUAGAAUCAAUGAUUGGGGUGAAGUCGUAACAAGGUAGC